AUGAAACAUUUUAAAUUAAGCUGACCAGGCUCCUCUCCUCAUGGACGCUCAGUGUGCAGUAGCAACAAACAGCAGCCUUUGUGGUAGUGUAUGAAGCCUGAUGCUUGUGUGGCACAGAAGGAUCUUGGAGACAGUG
ensembl:snoRNA SNORA70 Small nucleolar RNA SNORA70